rnacentral:rRNA from 1 species
GACGAACGCUGGCGGCGUGCUUAACACAUGCAAGUCGAACGAAGUGGCGAACGGGUGAGUAACGCGUAAUCAACCUGCCCUUCAGAGGGGGACAACAGUUGGAAACGACUGCUAAUACCGCAUACUGAAGGAGGGGAUUGCGUCAGAUUAGCUAGUUGGAGGGGUAACGGCCUACCAAGGCGAUGAUCAGGAGCCGGUCCGGUCGGAGGACCGGCCGAAUUGGGACUGAGACACGGCCCAGACUGCGACGGUAGGCAGCAGUGGGGAAUCUUCCGCAAUGGACGAAAGUCUGACGACGCAACGCCGCGUGAGUGAUGACGGCCUUCGGGUUGUAAAGCUCUGUUAAUCGGGACGCGGUACCGGAAUAGAAAGCCACGGCUAACUACGUGCCAACAGCCGCGGUAAUUC